CCUUCACGAAGUCGGAAUUGCUAGUAAUGGCAGGUCAGCAUACUGCCGUGAAUACGUUCCCGGGCCUUGUACACACCGCCCGUCACACCAUGAGAGUUAGGAAUACCCGAAGCCUGUGAGCCAACUUUAUAAGAGGCAGCAGUCGAAGGUAGAACUAAUGAUUGGGGUGAAGUCGUAACAAGGUACC
rnacentral:rRNA from 1 species